UCGCUAAUGUACGUAUAAUUGUCAUGCAUGUCCUUUAAUAUGGCUUUUUUUGGUUACAUUAAAUGAUGACAAAUUUCGCCCCUAGCGUAAAAUCCAUGACGAUGGCAUUGGUCUUUCUGAAAAAAUUGGCUCUAUAAAAAAUAGCUGUUUUUAGAAUCUUGUUUCAGUUGAUGUGGUCUUUCACAGGUGGUGGAUAUAGUGGAACCAGCUAUUUUGAAACCAAGACACAAGUUUCAGUCCUGCUUUAAUCUUCACAUUAAAAGUAAGAAUGCAGUGCAAGUUGGAAAUGAUACUUUUGCAUCAGAAGUUCAAAGAUAUGGGAGUGCUGAUCCAGACAAGAAAAAUGAAAAGUUCAACUGGAAGGAGCAUGGUUAUGUUUGUGUGAUUACCUAAGGAAAUGUAUCUAAUAACUGUUCAUGAACUUCGUAUAAUAAAAAAAAAUUA